CUUACUGAGAGUUCUUUGGCAUUCUGUCCACCUCCUUGUCGAAUCCUCAGAGACAGAAAUCUCAUAUCUGUUGAUCUUGGAGGUGGGCAUACUGCCAAUGGAGCUGUGUAGG
rfam:Oryza glaberrima chromosome 2 Oglab02_0303_8, whole genome shotgun sequence.